rnacentral:lncRNA from 1 species
AGGGAUCAGGAGAGCUAGAUUGCCCGGAAGUUCUAGCUAGGACGACAUGUAUUUUCAUUGAAUUCGGGAAGGAAGAAACAACAUCUAUUUUGAAUUGGCGAUAGUAUCUUCAUUUUUCCAAACUCCUCUCCUACCUGCACGUAUUAAUAAUCUCGAUAGUGAACAUCCAGUGCCACCUAAGGCCAGUCUCAAUGCACAGUUUCGUUGCACUGUUACCGAGACUGCAAAUUAUGUAGCUGUGAUGCUGGAUUUCAUGGGGAUAAAACUGCUCUCUCAUUUUAUAAAACUCCAUCCUCUUUCUCCUCAUAAAGAUCUUGCCAAGUCAGCAAAAUUGUUAAUGUGGUAUCAAAAUUAAUGUUAAUAAAACUCUCCAUAAAACUCCCACUAAGAUUGGUCUAACAGCGAUAACAAAUUAUAUUCAGUUAAGCUAAUUCUGCUUGCGUAGAGCGAGCAUUAAGGCCAUGUUUAGUUCCCUCCAAACUUCCAACUUUGACACUAUGUAAAAAGAAGAUUCCCC